AAAGGGAAGGGCAAAGGAAAGAAAAGAAAAACAUCUGCUGACAGAGAUUUGAACAUGACAGAGGAAGAUCUUACUAGGGUGGGACCAACAGAAGUGUCAGAUCAAAGUUGCACAUAGGAGCUGGAGAGAAAUCCUGAUUAAGAAUUAAUAGCAAGACCAGUGAGUCAGAAACCUUUUAGUAUGCCAUAUCUUUCCUUCUGAGCUUCUUUUUGGAUGUUGUUCUGGCAAUUCAGCACCUCCCGAGGCUCCCCCAGUGUUUGAUUUCCUCGAUACAGAGGCGUGUCCUAGAAUAACAGAAUUCAUUGUGUUGCAGUAUCCUAGGUAGGUAGGAUUGGUAUUAGCCCCAUUAUGUAGUGUCCUCUGUUGACAAAAAACAUUUUCUAUAACAUCACUGUUUGUUCUUG